CGACUGGGUGAAUGUGACUCUAGUGUAAAGCGCUUUGAGUGGUCAAAAAUGACUAGAAAAGCGCUAUAUAAGUUCAGUCCAUUUACCAUUUAUUAGUCAUCCUAUAAUUGCAUCUGUGAAAAAUUGCAGCAUGAGCAGAAAACAUGCAAGUUUCACCUGAAUACAAGUCAGAGCCAACAAAACUAUAAAAAACUGAAUUAUAGUUUAUAAAAUGUGUCAAUGGGUCCAUGAAGACAGCAAUGUCAUGACGGUUAAAGCUGCAGUCUGCAAGCUUUAUUAA